rnacentral:rRNA from 1 species
UACAGAGGAUGCAAGUGUUAUCCAGAUUUAUUGGGCGUAAAGGGUUUGUAGAUGGUAUUCUAAGUCUUUUGUAAAAUAUUUAAGCUUAACUUAAAAAUUGCAAAAGAUACUAGUAUUCUAGGGAGUGAUAGAGGUAAAGGGAAUUUUCAGUGAAGCGGUAAAAUGUGUAAAUAUUGAAAGGAACGCCAAUAGCGAAAGCACAUUACUUGGUCAUUUCUAACAUUGAGGAACGAAAGCUAAGGUAGCAAACGGG